rnacentral:rRNA from 1 species
ACGAACGCUGGCGGCGUGCUUCACACAUGCAAGUCGCACGGGCCCGCUCUCUUUUUUGGGGGCGGGUUGAGUGGCGAACGGGUGAGUAUCACGUGAGUAACCUGCCCCCUGCUCCUGGAUAACUGCUUGAAAGGGCGGCUAAUACGGGGUGUGCCGGCUGGUCCGCAUGGGCCUGGUCGGGAUAGUUUCAUCUUCGGGUGUUUCGGUGGGGGAUGGGCUCGCGGCCUAUCAGCUUGUUGGUGGGGUGAUGGCCCACCAAGGCGGUGACGGGUAGCCGGCCUGAGAGGGUGGGCGGCCACACUGGGACUGAGACACGGCCCAGACUCCUGCGGGAGGCAGCAGUGGGGGGUAUUGCACAAUGGGCGGAAGCCUGAUGCAGCGACGUCGCGUGAGGGAUGGAGGCCUUCGGGUUGUGAACCUCUUUCUCCGGUGGUGAAGGCCCUGUCCGUUGCGGCGGGGUUGACGGUAGCCGGGUAUGAAGCGCCGGCUAACUACGUG